UUUUGUUUCCCAGAUAGAGGGUGCUUACUUGGCAGGUAACAAAAGCCUCAGCAAUUGGGACGUAUUCACUCACUUACCAGAUAGAGGGUGCUUACUUGGUAGGUAACAAAAGCCUCAGCAAUUGGGACGUAUUCACUCACUUACCAGGAAAAAUCGUGGACGGAGGCACUGGAGAUGUUGCAGAUGAUCACUACCAUCGGUACAUGGAAGAUGCAGAGUUGAUGCAUUCCUUAGGUGUAAAUUCUUAUAGAUUCUCCAUUUCAUGGUCCAGAAUCCUCCCAAGAGGUAGAUUUGGAGAAGUUGAUUCCAUUGGAAUCGAAUUUUACAACAGGCUGAUACACACAAUCUUGCUCGAAGGAAUACAACCAUUUGUCACACUGAACCAUUAUGAUAUUCCUCAAGAACUUGAAGACCGAUAUGGGUCAUGGUUGAGUCCACAAAUACAGUAGGUCUUCCCUUAUAUUUUAUUUCUUGUAAUUCAUU